rnacentral:rRNA from 1 species
GCCAGCAGCCAUGUCACCCUGCAACUUACAAUUGGCAGCCCACUGAAGCUAAGCAAGUGUGAGCCUGGUCAGUACCUGGAUGGGAGACCUCCUGGGAAAAACUAAGGUUGCUGCUAGAA